rnacentral:rRNA from 1 species
CCGCGCGCGGCGGGCGGGGCGGGGCCGGCGGCGGGCAUAUCAAUAAGCGGAGGAAAAGAAACUAACAAGGAUUCCCCUAGUAACGGCGAGUGAAGCGGGAAGAGCUCACAUUUGAAAGUAAUACACUAGUGUUACAUUGUGAUGUGGAGGAUGGUGUGUUGGUGAACGAGUAAAAGUGUUCUGGAAAGAACUACCACAGAGGGUGAUAGUCCCGUUUACUCAUUCUGCCGAAAUA